UACAGAGGUCUCAAGCGUUGUUCGGAUUCAUUGGGCGUAAAGGGUGCGUAGGUGGCGCUGUAAGUCAGGUGUGAAAUUUCGGAGCUUAACUCCGAAACUGCAUUUGAUACUGCGGUGCUUGAGGACUGGAGAGGAGACUGGAAUUCACGGUGUAGCAGUGAAAUGCGUAGAGAUCGUGAGGAAGACCAGUGGCGAAGGCGGGUCUCUGGACAGUUCCUGACACUGAGGCACGAAGGCCAGGGGAGCAAACGGG
rnacentral:rRNA from 1 species